UGUUUAUUGGAUUUAGAUAUAAUUUCAUUUGGAUAGUUAUUCCUUUUGACUUACAGUUAUUUUUGCGACAUAUUUAAUUUAUUCACAGUAAGUUUUGACUAUGACGGGUGGUUCGGAGGAGGUUUCCUCCAAAUUGGAGGACGCUCCGGUAUUUGAAUUCCAGGAACUACUGGACCGCUUUGAAAAAGAAAGCGCAUCUGAAACUGAGGAACAAGUUAAUUCAAUUUAUGAAGACCCAAAUUUGCCUUCGAUCAUUCAAAAAGAGCUAAAUUUUUGCCAGAUUGGUAAUGGCGAUAACUUCCAAAAAAGAGCUUCCGUUUUUUUGCAAGCGCUUUUUAUGUUGACAGCAAACAGUGAUAAUUUUUGCAAAAAUUUGCAUGAAAAUGGAUCUGUGAAACGCAUGCUCGAGCUCUUAGGAAAUCAGUUAAAAAUUCAACCAUCCGAAAGAACAGACGAAAAUUCGAUUAUCAAACUGAUUUUGGCUCUUUGCAAAACACUGGAAAUCGCCGUAGAUGCUAAGAGAACGUUCUUCGAAACGACUUUGGAAGUUCAGACCGAAGAAGUCAUUUCUUCAACUGCAGAAACUUCAAAACUAAAAGUGUUCACACUUUUACUUCUCGCUAUUGCUUCUGACCGAGACGAAGUCAAAUCGUCAUCAAUUUUAAACGAAUCUCUACCUGUUAUUAGUCUUCUAAUUGGUAAUCUAUCCGAAACUCUUGAAAACCGUCAAGAAUUCUGGAUCGAAAACGUUGCUGCCAAUUUAGCUAGAAAACCAGCUUACGGAGCUGGCUGUUUUUUUAAAAUGCUCAUGAUAUUUUCUCGAACGGAACGCAACUCGAAUAUCUUCGCUCAGCAAACACCACUUCUGAAUAACUUACCAGUUAUUUUUGAUUGGAACAAUGACGACAUUUCUUACCCGGCAUUUGAGCUUCUGUGGGAAAUGAGCUUUUCAAGGCCAAAUUGGGAGUUUUUUUGUGGAAAUGGCGAAAUAAUGAACCAGCUUAAGGCCAUGGACACUGACCAUAGUUGUGACCCCAAUGAUGUCACAGUAGUAGGAAAGAAUAUAGUGUGGGAAAUUAAAUUGCAGGCGAAAUUGAUGAAGCAAAGAAACGAGGGCGCUAUGACCGACCCGAAAAACACUUCGAGAAAAAAGAAAGGAAAGGCCGCCAAACAAAUACAGAAAGCUCGCAGAAACUGUUGCUGUGAGCUCAUUAGCAAAUUACUAUGCUCAUGUCUGUGCGAACGUCUCUGCAAAUGCCUGGCGGAACAUGUCUGCCCCGG